rnacentral:rRNA from 1 species
UCUGGUGAUCAUAGUGCAAAGGCCACACCCGAUUCCAUUCCGAACUCGGAAGUUAAGCUUUGUUACGCCGAUGGUACUUCACGGGAGACUGUGUGGGAGAGUAGGACGUCACCAGUA